ACCAGGUGGUAGUCAAAGAAAAAUUCGUCAGAAACCAAAGGAGGAGAAGAAGAAGAAGAAACUACAACUGCGAACACGAACACAACUCUGACCACAAGUGCUGCAGCAACAACGAAAAUGUCCAUCGCCAGUUGCUUCUUUGCCUCCGCGUCUCUCUCCACAAUCUCUAACAACAACACCCCAGAACUCAAUCUCAACCGUCCAUCUCCUCUUCCCCUCCGCCUCUCCGUCACGUCACCACCCUCCUCCUCCUCCUUCACCACCCCUCUCUCCCUCCACCUCCACCACCACCGCCGACCACCCACCUCCCUUUUUCUCGCCUUCUCCACCCCCACCUCCUCUGGCGGCGGCGGCGGCGACGACAACUACAACAACAAUGGUGGUAGUGGUGGUGGUGGUGGUGGAAAUAACAAUGAUGGCGAUGGCGAUGGUGAGAAUGCGGGUGA
rnacentral:lncRNA from 1 species